rnacentral:rRNA from 1 species
CUCGUAGGUGGCCAACUAAGUCAGACGUGAAAUCCCUCGGCUUAACCGGGGAACUGCGUCUGAUACUGGAUGGCCUGAGUUUGGGAGAGGGACGCGGAAUUCCAGGUGUAGCGGUGAAAUGCGUAGAUAUCUGGAGGAACACCGGUGGCGAAGGCGGCGUCCUGGACCAACACUGACACUGAUGAGCGAAAGCCAGGGGGAGCAAAACGG